AAAACAGGGAGCCCACCAAACAGGAAGCAAACUGGUGACUAGAAGAGCGCGUGCGCACUGUUUCCGCAAGUCUUCCGGGCAGUGAUCCGGAAGCCGAGAGGGACAAAAGUCCUCGGGAAGCGGAAAGGAAAGGAAAGCACUUCUUGAAGAUUCUACCACUUACAAUUCAUGGAAAGAUCCCAUUUGCAGUAGGAGAGAUUGAAACAAUACACAGAUGAAUUAUGGACCAAAAGAUGAAGGUCACACGACCAGGCAUGGAUCGGUUGUGCUGGUGUUGCUGAGGAUGUUGCUUACUGCCUCCAUCAGUGUUGCUGACACAAAGACUUUGAGAAAAUGCUAGAGG